rnacentral:tRNA from 1 species
GGAGAGAUGUCCGAGUGGUCGAAGGAGCCUGACUCGAAAUCAGGUGUACGAGUAAUCGUACCGGGGGUUCGAAUCCCUUUCUCUCCG